ensembl:lncRNA
UCUGCUAGUGAUUUACUGAAAAUGCGCAAAUUAAAGAACACAGACACAACAUCUCAUUUGCAUAUUGACCAACGCAAUAUACCAAGCACAGCGCAAAUUAGCGUAGUCGCAAAUAAGCAGAACCGAUGAUCAUCAAGUUCGGGUAAUCUACUUACGACACAGGCGAAAAAUUGUUUAAGAUGUGCUUAUUUGGGCAUUAAAUAAUGGUGCAAAUAUCAGUAAUUUGACCAGAGCAAACAUUAGUAAAUCACGUUGCAUGAUUCAUUUGAAUAAUCUCCUCCCAUAAAUUUUGUGUCUGAAAGGGAAACUCCUACAAAUGCAUGUUCAAUAAGGUCAGGCGCAAAAAAAAAACUGUGUCCUCACUUUGUCAGUGUUAAUUCUUCACUGCGCAUCUUUAGUAAAUCCUUACAGUACUAUUUUAACACCAAAAGAUGGUUUGCGCUGGUGCAAGCUGUUAGUAAAUCUGGCCCUCAGUGUCUUAAUUGUUACAUUUUUUAUAAUGCAUUAGCAUUAGCUUACUGUCGAUCCACCAGUUCAAAUUUAUAUGUUUGACGCAUAAAAGUGUGGGUCGAUUUUUGCUUUGGUCUGAAUAAAUACAGCAGACGGGCUUAUUGAAAAUGCACAUUCAUUCUCUGCCAGCAAGUGGUGCUUUUAUAAAUUCUUGUCUUUCCAUCCCCAAAUUUAAGACCUCUUGAAUUUCUUAUACCAUUUAAGACUUUUUAAGGCUUUUAAUUUAAUGCAACAAAAUGUAAGGCUUUUUAAGACCCGCUGAAACCCUGUAUGAGAUUGGCGAUUUCCCACCCAUCUCAAAGCAAAGAUUUACAAGACCCUCAUACGGACAGUCACACUUCACAGUUCAGAGUGUUGGCCUGCAUCCGCCAAACACCAGCAGUCUGGACCAUGUCAGGAAUGAAGACGUGCAGAAAGUACUGGGAAUGGCUCCAAUCAUAGAGAAGAUGAAAGAAGCACAUCUUUAUUGGGACAGCCAUGUCAUUCACAGCGGAGAAGAAUCAAGUGAUAGACAGCAUUGUGCCUUAGCCCCGAUGGAUGGCGACCACAUGUUUGACCAAAGAAGAGAUGAAUGGACUGAGAAAAAAAAAAGAAAAUAUGAAACAAGUCAACACAGCCCCCAACGAUGCCCUAGACUGGAAGAAGUGGAAAGCAAAAUGUCAAUAAGCAGACCUUGCAACAGUGCAGUCUUGGCAGGUGCUGGGUUCAGCAGUGCUGUAGUACAGUAUGUGAGCAUCUCUGGGUCACUGAUGGUGCAGUCAGCGCUGGAGAAGAAUUGGAAUGAGGGAUUAAGAAGAACUGUUAGUGCUCCUCCAUCUGUCCGCUCCCUCAGGACACGCACAUUAGAAAGACCUGAGAAAAUCAAACAGCCCCAGUCUCUGGCUCUCAUAAGCCUGAAUCCCAGAGGUCUUUAAAGAAGGAAGAUGUACGGAUGAAGAAAACAGCGAGACGGGGAAGUCAAUACUGAGAAAUCAAAAGAAAGUUUACACAGUACAGUCUGGAGGGAAGUGAUACCUGUAGUUUAAAGCUCAUUCUGGGAUCGAAGGCUCACACAUUCUGGGGACCAAGAUUGGGCAAAAUACGAUCUUUAUGAAAUGACUUUGUCUUGAAGUUCAUAAUGGAAAAUUUGAAUUGAAUUGAUCACACAGGAUUUUGAAUUGAAUUUGAAUGACAGCAAAAUUGAUUUACUGAAUUACAAUUCAAAUUGAAUAUAUACAAAUUCAAAAAAUCACAUAAUAGAAGAACUGAAUGUCAAACAAAAGUUUGACAAAAUUUAGAAGAUUAAAUCAUUAAUUUUCACUAAUUAUGUAUUUUUUUUCGCAACUUAUUAGAAAUACAUUUCAACAUUAUCAAAAUAUGUGAAAAAAUUGUGGUCAAAAUUUAUCAAAAAUUAUGUGAAACACAUAUAAUGCAUAAAUUCGCUCCUGGAAUUAAAAGUUUGGCGUAGCUAAAAUUCUAUAAAGAAGUGUCUUCUGCUCACCAAAGCAGCAUUUAUUUGAUGAAAAACCAAGUAAAAACGGAAAUAUUGUGAAAUAUUAUUGUCAUUUAAAAGGCUGCUUUAAUAUAUUAAUAAAAUGAAGUUUAUUUCUGUGAUGCA